rnacentral:rRNA from 1 species
CCGCGUGAGGGAGGAAGGCCUUUGGGUUGUAAACCUCUUUUCUCAGGGAAGAAGAUCUGACGGUACCUGAGGAAUAAGCAUCGGCUAACUCCGUGCCAGCAGCCCGCGGUAAUACGGAGGAUGCAAGCGUUAUCCGGAAUUAUUGGGCGUAAAGCGUCUGUAGGUUGCCUAGCAAGUCUAUUGUUAAAGGUUAAAGCUUAACCUUAAAACUGCAGUAGAAACUGCUAAGCUUGAGUACAGUCGAAGUAGAGGGAAUUUCCAGUGAAGCGGUGAAAUGCGUAGAUAUUGGAAGGAACACCAAUGGCGAAAGCACUCUACUAGGCUUUUACUGACACUCAGAGACGAAAGCUAGGGAAUCACUAGUG